AGCUUAUUCACUUCGAUCAGUCUUCAAACGUACAUAUGCACUGAAUCUGCAGCAAACUGAUAAAGAAACUAAUUAACAUCAUAAUGGCUAAGCUAUUUUGUUCUUCACUCAUUUUUGUUGCAGCUUAUCUUUUGUUGGUGAUUACUGGAUCCAUUUCUUCUGGUGAUGCGGCAACUUGUGGAUUUACGGGUGGAUACAUCGGAGUGGUGAAAGUGGCAACGAGCAGGAUAUCUUGCCCGAGCUGCAAGAGCGGAUGCCUCGGUCAAUGUGGAAGAAGCAAAUACACGACCGUACAGAACAACUGCGAUACGGUUGCCGGCCCCAAAUUGCAAUGCUACUGUUGUUGUAGUAACAUACAGAAACCUUCCUUCACUUAAAAAAAAUCAGCUAGUUGUCCGACGUGGUAUUGCUACUAGGCAGUGACCACUGGUCAGCUUGAGUGUGUGCAUGUUGUUCGUCUCCUAUCACGUGUAUGUGGAUUUUAUUUAAUUACUUUCCGCCGUAAUAAGAUUAUUGUGUUUGUUGGUGGAAGAGGCUGUCGAUCUCUGGCAGUGGUACUAAUAUAUAACGCUAAAAUCUUGGGCCAUUUAAUGGAGUGUCCUCGUUUCUAAUCACUCUUCA